AUUGAACGCUAGCGGAAUGCUUUACACAUGCAAGUCGAACGACAGCACGGACUUCGGUCUGGUGGCGAGUGGCGAACGGGUGAGUAAUGUAUCGGAACGUGCCCAGUCGUGGGGGAUAACGUAGUGAAAAUUACGCUAAUACCGCAUACGAUCUAUGGAUGAAAGCGGGGGAUCGCAAGACCUGGCGCGAUUGGAGCGGCCGAUAUCAGAUUAGGUAGUUGGUGGGGUAAAGGCCCACCAAGCCAACGAUCUGUAGCUGGUCUGAGAGGACGACCAGCCACACUGGAACUGAGACACGGUCCAGACUCCUACGGGAGGCAGCAGUGGGGAAUUUUGGACAAUGGGCGAAAGCCUGAUCCAGCCAUUCCGCGUGCAGGAUGAAGGCCCUCGGGUUGUAAACUGCUUUUGUACAGAACGAAAAGGUUUCUACUAAUACUAGGAGCUCAUGACGGUACUGUAAGAAUAAGCACCGGCUAACUACGUGCCAGCCGCCGCCGUAA
rnacentral:rRNA from 1 species